rnacentral:rRNA from 1 species
GAGUUUGAUCUUGGCUCAGAUUGAACGCUGGCGGCAUGCCUAACACAUGCAAGUCGAACGGCAGCACUGGGAGCUUGCUCCCUGGUGGCGAGUGGCGGACGGGUGAGUAACGCGUAGGAAUCUGCCUCAUAGCGGGGGACAACUCGGGGAAACUCGAGCUAAUACCGCAUACGUACUCGAGAGAGGAAAGCAGGGGACCUUCGGGCCUUGCACUAUGAGAUGAGCCUGCGUUGGAUUAGCUAGUUGGUAGGGUAAAGGCCUACCAAGGCGACGAUCCAUAACUGGUUUGUAGAGGAUGACCAGUCACACUGGGACUGAGACACGGCCCGAGACUCCUACGGGAGGGCAGCAGUGGGGAAUAUUGGACAAUGGGGGAAACCCUGAUCCAGCAAUGCCGCGUGUGUG